GGGGCUUAACCCCGGGUCUGCAUUCGAUACGGGCAGACUAGAGUGUGGUAGGGGAGAUCGGAAUUCCUGGUGUAGCGGUGAAAUGCGCAGAUAUCAGGAGGAACACCGGUGGCGAAGGCGGAUCUCUGGGCCAUUACAGACGCUGAGGAGCGAAAGCGUGGGGAGCGAACAGGAUUACAUACCCUGGUAGUCCACGCCGUAAACGGUGGGAACUAGGUGUUGG
rnacentral:rRNA from 1 species